AUGAAAGCGGCGGUUAGGACGAAGAACUUCGUCUCCUCCAAAUUCCUCCAGCGAGCUUGUGGAUUCAUCUCCCCUUUUCAUGCUUCUCUGGUUGCCGGGGGCGGGAAGGAGAAUCUCGGUGCCUCGACUCAGGCUGGUAGUUUAGCUAUGAAGGAGAGGAGCGGGGACAAAGAAGGAAAGGCACCUAACCCACGACGAUCAUCGGCAACCUGCGACAGUGAGGUUGGAGUGGGCGCUCUGUUGGACUUAAAGAAAAGUUGCAUCAAUGACCUUCGACAACAUUGGCGGUGGUUAUGGGCGGUGGAUCUGCAGACUACAAUAGAGGGGAGCCACCUCCACUUCUCGUUAAAAGAUUCUGUGUGCCUUGCUCCACCUCUGACGCGCAACAACACACAAUACCUCCCCGGCGACCCAUCUGAUGACCGCCAUGACCACACCCGUGCACCCCCGCCGAACUUCGGGAAUAUUUCGAUGAGAUUCCAGAGAAAAAAAAGAGAAACGGAUCGUCCCCAUUCACCACCACCCCGAGUCCUCCCCAUUUUGCUCCCUCGUCUGCCGCUGCCACCACUCACCGGCGCUCUCCCCCACAGCCGCCGCCGCCACCGCCACCAGUGCCCUCCCCCACAGCCUGCACCCCAGCCCUUCUCUCCUCCGCUCACCUUAUCCCCACCACCGGUGAGCUCCUCCUCCCCCCCUCCCCGCUCGCCCCAGAUCGAGCAGCAGGUUAGGGUUCACGGCCACGGCGGCGCGAGCGCUCCGAUGCAGCAUAUAACAUAUACCUCUGUUACUGUUAGUGGAGCAGCCCCAACCCUAGCCCUUCUUCGGCCAUGGCGACCUAGCAAGCAGGAGGUUGCCAACACAAUUGGCAAGAGCUACAAUCUGAUGAAAUUUCUCCCUGAACAAAGCUUGAGGAACCUGAAGUCUGCAGUCCUUCAGUCACAAGGCGUCCGAUGCUUGGUUCUAGAUGAUUGCAAGAGGUUGCUUGCUCUUAUUUUCUUAUAUGCAUUUGUUGUGGCAAUCAGAAAAGUCCGCGGCACUUUCAUGUUGAUCGCUUCGUCUUUGAUCUGUGCCGUCGGGCAUGAUGCACCCUCCCUCAGAGUUCACGCCGGACACGAUGCUCCAUCUACAUCCACUGGCUUUUAA
rnacentral:rRNA from 1 species